UACGUAGGUGGCAAGCGUUGUCCGGAAUUAUUGGGCGUAAAGCGCGCGCAGGCGGUCCUUUAAGUCUGAUGUGAAAGCCCACGGCUCAACCGUGGAGGGUCAUUGGAAACUGGGGGACUUGAGUACAGAAGAGAAGAGUGGAAUUCCACGUGUAGCGGUGAAAUUCGUAGAUAUCAGGAGGAACACCAGUGGCGAAGGCGGCUUUCUGGACGAUUACUGACGCUGAGACGCGAAAGCGUGGGGAGCAAACAGG
rnacentral:rRNA from 1 species